rnacentral:rRNA from 1 species
UACGUAGGGUGCAAGCGUUAAUCGGAAUCACUGGGCGUAAAGCGUGCGCAGGCGGUUGUGCAAGACAGUUGUGAAAUCCCCGGGCUUAACCUGGGAAUUGCAUCUGUGACUGCACGGCUAGAGUGUGUCAGAGGGGGGUAGAAUUCCACGUGUAGCAGUGAAAUGCGUAGAUAUGUGGAGGAAUACCGAUGGCGAAGGCAGCCCCCUGGGAUAACACUGACGCUCAUGCACGAAAGCGUGGGGAGCAAACAGG